rnacentral:lncRNA from 1 species
CAACACCUCUUCCGCAGCCCAUGGGCCAGCAAGUGAUCUGCCACUUCAAGAAGAUAUACACAAAGGUUCUCUUCACCAAGAGUUUUAAUGCCACUGAAGAGAUAUCCUUGACUCUGAAAGAAUUCUGGAAGAAACAUUUCAAUGUCCUCCACUGCAUAAACCUCAUUGGCAAAGCCUAGGAAGAUGUCACAUAGUGGACCUUAAAAUCACCCAGGAGGAAAAUGGACAGAGGGUGUCAAUGAACGUGAUUUGGAAAAGUCUCAUACAGAGAUAGUGGAGAGAUUGUGUACAUGGGCAAGAGUAUGGGUCUGGAUGUCAGUGGUAAAGACAUAGAGGAGCUAAUUAAAGAGCAUAAGGAGGAGCUGACAAUAAGAGCUUGCUGAACUCAGAGUGAGCAAUAGAAGGCUCUUGUUGAGGAGCAUUCCACUGGGGAAGAGGAAGACAGGGAUGAGACGACCAGUGAUGUGAUAAAAUCCAUUGCGAAAAAAUGCAACGAGUGCCAGGAUUUCUCUGAAGCAACAUCCAAAUAUAACUGCAAUGAACAGAAUGUUGAAUCUGAUGCAUGAUAACAUGGUCUCUCAAUUCUGAAAGAAAAAGUGACAUUAGACAGAUGUUUUUCAUCAAAAUUGACCCUGAAGCGAAGCAACAAAAAUGAAGAGCAAUGCCUGAAGAAGAGAUAUCCCCACUGUCCUUACGGAGGAGGACUCUUCCUCCAAACAUCUUCCCACCCACCUUCCUGUCCACACCAGAAGCCCCUUCAAGCAAGUGAAUUAAGCCUAAGAGCUAGAAGUCUUUCUGAAAAUCAAGAGAAUACUUCCACUGUACUUCAGCUGAGGGAAGGUGUUUCCACCAAAUCUGGCCUUGACAGGAGUCUUCCUACCAGGUGACAAGGAGCUGAGCCAGGAGAGUAUUUACUGCAGGCUGAUGAGAGAAGGAAGACUGAAAAACCAAGUUACUGAUCCAGAAACAGGGCCAUCCGUGCUCCCCAGGAAGACUCUGAGAAACAGAAAAUGAGAAACAGCCCUCAAUGCAAAAUGUUUCAGCUUAUACUUUAUAAAAGUAUUAAAGCAAUAUGUACUCAAUAAAAAUUGUAAAUGGCCU